UUAGCAUGCACAAUCUACCUCUGGCAUGAAGAUGACACAGGGUGAUGCUGUGGCCGGGUCAAACUCUGUGCUAUUUGCGCCACCUAGUUUCAUGACCGAACGGGCAAACUCGAUCACAGCGACUUGCAUACCCAAGCAAAUGCCAAGAUAAGGAACAUUCUUUUCCCGUGCAUAUGUUGCGGCGAGAAUUUUGCCCUCAACUCCUCUAUCUCCGAAGCCUCCAGGAACAAGCACACCAUCCGCACCCUGAGGGGUCUACACAAAGCAAGCACCUCCAGAGCAUCAGUGGUAGGUUCAUGGAGGAAAAAAAAACUGAUGGGGAGCCCAUACUCAACAACACCGACCUCUUUGGCUGCAGAAUUUUCAAGAUCACAGGAAGGAACCCACUCCAGUACAAGUUUCCUUUCCAUAGCAACUGAUGCGUGCAAGAGAGCCUGGAACAAGGGUCAAACAAGAUAAAUCAGUGAACCCUACAAUUCUAAGGUAGCAGUGUAGCUUAGUAUGUUACUGUUCGUAAUCUAGUUUGUAUUAUUUAA